UGGGGAAUUUUGCACAAUGGAGGAAACUCUGAUGCAGCGACGCCGCGUGAGUGAUGAAGAUCUUCGGAUUGUAAAACUCUGUCCUUAGUGAAGAUAAUGACAGUAACUAAGAAGCAAGCCCUGGCUAAAUACGUGCCAGCAGCCGCGGUAAUACGCAUGGGGCAAGCGUUGUCCGGAAUUAUUGGGCGUAAAGGGUACGUAGGCGGUUUAAUAAGUCCUAAUUAAAAGGCUAUGGCUCAACCAUAGUAUGGUUAGGAAACUGUUGAACUUGAGUGGAUGAGGGGAAAGUGGAAUUCCAUGUGUAGCGGUGAAAUGCGUAGAUAUAUGGAGGAACACCAAUGGCGAAGGCAACUUUCUGGAAUCAAACUGACGCUGAGGUACGAAGGCGUGGGGAGCAAACAGG
rnacentral:rRNA from 1 species